CAGGGGCCCGAGGACAAUGGGGUCGGCGACGGCGAGGAAGCCAGCGGGGCGGAUGGGGUCCCCACCGAGGCCGAGCCGCUGCCCUCCCUGGAGUACUGGCCCCAGAAGUCGGACCGCUCCAUCCCGCAGCUGGACCUGGGCUGGCCCGACACCAUCGCCUACCGCGGCGUGACCCGGGCCAGCGUCUACAUGCAGCCCCCCAUAGACGGGCAGGCCCACAUCAAAGAGGUGGUGCGGAAGAUGAUCAGCCAGGCACAGAAGGUGAUAGCUGUGGUCAUGGACAUGUUCACCGACGUGGACAUCUUCAAGGACCUGCUGGACGCCGGCUUCAAGAGGAAAGUGGCCGUGUACAUCAUCGUGGAUGAGAGUAACGUCAAGUACUUCCUGCACAUGUGUGAGCGGGCCCGCAUGCACCUGGGGCACCUCAAGAAUCUCAGAGUGCGGAGCAGCGGGGGAACUGAGUUCUUCACGCGGUCGGCAACCAAGUUCAAGGGUGCCCUGGCCCAGAAGUUCAUGUUUGUGGAUGGAGACCGGGCUGUGUGCGGCUCCUACAGGUGACUCUCCAGCUUUCAGGGAAGUUGUGCGAGAGGUACCUCUGGCUCCCAACUGGUUUCUGCCCUUAAUCCUAACCCUGGUUAUUCUGGUUCAUUGGUCCCAAGGCUGCUGAGGUGUGCGCAGGGCUGGAGCACAUCUGCCCGCCUGUCUGUCUCUGGAGGCAGGCAGAGAAGGGCUUUGUCUGAGGACGCUGUUGUUCCAGCUUGGAGAUGUCACUGGCCUGGAGGUGGGGUGUGGCCAGGCCGUGCCUUCGCAAGCCUAUGGGGGUCACUCUGAGAGCCGUCCUUAGGGGUGGGGCCAGCUCUGUGGGCACCACCACAUGGGGCAUGGGGUGGGCGCUGCCCAUGGUUACAUGGGGGUUGGUGGCAGCAUAGACGCAUGGCAGCAGCGGCCACCACAUGCAGAACCCCCACGGUGUCCAGGGCCUUCCUGAGCUGCUUAGUGAAUCCUGUACCAGCCUGAGAGGAGCACAGUGCCCUGUCAUUUGCAGAGGUGGGAACGGGCUUGGUGCAACCAACUUGCUUGACAUCCGACUCAGUCUGACCCCACAGUAUGCACCUGCUCUCUGCCCCCAUUCACUUCUUGAUCCCAGGGCCCUGUGGCCACAGUCUGAGGCCCAGCGGCUAUGGGUGCACGGGGGCUGGGCGGAGGAAGCAGGGUCAUGUGCCUGACCAGCGCCCCCUCCCUCUGUUGCAGCUUCACGUGGGCGGCCGCGCGGACGGACCGGAAUGUGAUCUCUGUGCUGUCUGGCCAGGUGGUGGAGAUGUUUGACCGGCAGUUCCAGGAACUGUACCUCAUGUCACACAGUGUGAGCCUCAAGGGCAUCCCUAUGGAGAAGGAACCGGAGCCGGAGCCUAUUGUGCUGCCCUCUGUGGUCCCCCUGGUGCCCGCGGGCACUGUGGCCAAGAAGCUCGUCAACCCCAAGUACGCACUUGUCAAGGCCAAGAGCGUCGACGAGAUUGCCAAGAUCUCCUCUGAGAAGCAGGAGGCGAAGAAGCCCCUGGGGCUGAAAGGCCCAGCGCUGGCCGAGCAUCCAGGGGAACUCCCCGAGCUGCUGCCACCCAUCCACCCAGGACUGCUUCACCUGGAGAGGGCCAACAUGUUUGAGUACCUGCCCACGUGGGUGGAGCCAGACCCGGAGCCUGGCAGCGACAUCCUGGGCUACAUCAAUAUCAUCGACCCCAACAUCUGGAACCCCCAGCCCAGCCAGAUGAACCGCAUCAAGAUCCGUGACACCUCCCAGGCCAGCGCCCAGCACCAGCUGUGGAAGCAGAGCCAGGACAGCAGGCCCCGUCCAGAGCCUUGCCCUCCCCCAGAGCCCAGUGCCCCCCAGGACGGUGUCCCAGCUGAGAACGGCCUCCCCCAGGGGGACCCUGAGCCAUUGCCCCCCGUGCCCAAGCCCCGGACAGUCCCUGUGGCAGAUGUACUAGCCCAGGACAGCAGUGAUAUUGGCUGGGUCCUGGAGCUCCCCAAAAAGGAAGCUCCCCAGAAUGGGACAGACCAUAGGCUACCCAGGAUGGCAGGCCCAGGCCACGCCCCACUCCAGCGGCAGCUAUCUGUGACCCAGGAUGACCCCGAGAGCCUGGGGGUGGGGCUCCCCAAUGGGCUGGAUGGGGUGGAAGAAGAAGAUGAUGACGACUACGUAACCCUCAGUGACCAGGACAGCCACUCAGGCAGCUCCGGCCGUGGCCCUGGCCCCCGACGGCCCUCAGUGGCUUCCUCUGUGUCAGAGGAGUACUUCGAGGUGAGAGAGCACUCAGUCCCUCUCCGGAGGCGCCACUCAGAGCAAGUGGCCAACGGGCCAACCCCACCACCGCGCCGGCAGCUGAGUGCCCCCCAUAUAACCCGAGGGACCUUUGUUGGACCCCAGGGUGGCUCCCCAUGGGCCCAGAGUCGGGGAAGAGAAGAAGCAGAUGCGUUGAAGAGGAUGCAGGCCCAGCGCUCCACAGACAAGGAGGCACAGGUGGGUCAGGGUCCCUGCACACCAGGGGUCACGAGUCCCUCCCUGCCAGCCACCCAAGAGCUCGAGCUGUUGUCUUCUGGGCUACCGUGUCCCUGACUCUGAUGACUUCAAUUCCCUUGUUACAGAUGGGGAAACUUGAUGAACAGGCAGGGGUGGGAACCGGCCAGGGCCAUAUGGAAGGCCAUCAUUAAUGCUGGACUCUUGGUCCCAGCAUCCUGAAAAGGCAACCUAAGGAAAUGCACGUUUCCCCACCUAGAGGUCUCCAAAGCCUGUGGUUAGAGGAUCUUGAUGGCACCUGCCAGAUGGGUGGCACAGUCCCUAGUUUGCAGAUGAGGAAACGGCGGGGCACAGGGACGUUCAUUUACAGCCUUGAGGUCACACAGCAGUAAGUGAUACCUGUCCAGACCUUGUGCCAAGCCACAUGCAUGUUAAUCCCUUUGAUUGUGGCCCUGAGGACCACUCUCCCCACUCCCCAGGUUGGGGAACAGUUCACAUCUAUCCUUUGCCUCUUCUUCUGGUGACGUUUGCAGGACAAGGUCCCAGAACCCUGGGUGCCCUGCAGCCUGGGUUCAGUGCCCGGAGCCCGUCCUACCUGGGAACAAUGCGCGGCUGAUCAUGCCCGGCAUGAUGAUCAGGCCCAUGGGGAGCAUCUUGAGGUAGCUGGCCAGGAUGGAGCCCGCCUUGGCAUGGUUCAGGUCCCGGGCUGACAGUGAUCGCUGCACGAUGACCUGGGGGUGGAGUGCGAGACGGGGUGAGUCCAAGCCUGAGGGACACUUGUGUCAGGAUUGGUCCUUGGUGGGCCUCAGGGAAUGGGCAUGAGGCACGAUGAUGUCCCAUUAGCCUCUGACCUGCCCAAAACAGCCACACUCAAAGCCCCAACACUGUCAGGGUCCCACCAGGAGAGCUCACUUCAGCAGGCCAAGCAGCGAGAGCCGAGGUACACUCAUUCCCAGGGACUCAGUCCCCUGACCUGUCAAUAGGGGAGGUGUGGAUCCUGCCCAGCCCACCACCCCUGGCAAUUGUCAGGGCUGGAGGAGACCCUGGGUGGGGUGGUAUGGGGACAUACACCCCUACCCUCAUCUCCUGGACCCUCAUGACAGCAGCUGGCACAUUUAUAGUGCCAGGAGCAGACAUUGGUGCCAACUGUGUUUGCAUGGCUGGCAGAGUUCAGGUGCUUUAAGACCUGGGGUUUUGAAAGCUUGCAGUUCAGUAGCAGAGGGAGGGUAGAAGCUAUCUGAGGACACCGGCCCUUCUGGGAGCCUUCAGCAAAUCCUAACCAGGCCUUUCCAGAUUUGCAGAAUGGGAGGAGGGAGCGGUAAGUUGGACCCAUAAUGUCUGAGAUCUCUCCCAGCACUGAUAUUACGAUUCUACUUCAAAAGAGUUACUUUUUUUUUUUUUUUGAGUCGGAGUCUCGCUCUGUCGCCCAGGCUGGAGUGCAGUGGUGCGAUCUCGGCUCACUGCAAGCUCCGCCUCCCGGGUUCAUGCCAUUCUCCUGCCUCAGCCUCCCAAGUAGCUGGGACAACAGGCGCCCGCCACCACGCCUGGCUAAUUUUUUGUAUUUUAAAAAUAGAGACGAGGUUUCACUGUGUUAGCCAGGAUGGUCUCGAUCUCCUGACCUCGUGAUCGCCCGCCUCGACCUCCCAAAGUGCUGGGAUUACAAGCGUGAGCCACCGUGCCCAGCCCAAAAGAGUUACUUUUUAAACAGCUUUAUUGAGAUAUUCACAGACCAUAUAAUUCACCCAAAGUGUACACUGUUCCCAUGGUUUUUAGUACGUUCACAAAGUUGUACGACCUAUGACUCUGAAACGUAACUAGUUUUCCUUUGCGGUUCCACAGUUUAAGUCACCAGCUGCAACUCAGGAGCAGGAAGCCUCUGUGA
rnacentral:sRNA from 1 species